GACGAACGCUGGCGGCGUGCCUAAUACAUGCAAGUAGAACGCUGAAGAGAGGAGCUUGCUCUUCUUGGAUGAGUUGCGAACGGGUGAGUAACGCGUAGGUAACCUGCCUUGUAGCGGGGGAUAACUAUUGGAAACGAUAGCUAAUACCGCAUAACAAUGGAUGACACAUGUCAUUUAUUUGAAAGGGGCAAUUGCUCCACUACAAGAUGGACCUGCGUUGUAUUAGCUAGUAGGUGAGGUAAUGGCUCACCUAGGCGACGAUACAUAGCCGACCUGAGAGGGUGAUCGGCCACACUGGGACUGAGACACGGCCCAGACUCCUACGGGAGGCAGCAGUAGGGAAUCUUCGGCAAUGGGGGCAACCCUGACCGAGCAACGCCGCGUGAGUGAAGAAGAUUUUCGGAUCGUAAAGCUCGGUUGUAAGUCAAGAACGGGUGUGAGAGUGGAAAGUUCACACUGUGACGGUAGCUUACCAGAAAGGGACGGCUAACUACGUG
rnacentral:rRNA from 1 species